rnacentral:rRNA from 1 species
UCCACAUACGCAUCCUUUGCUGAGGAUACGGUUAACGGAGCGAAAGCGACGUUCAACCGCAAAAAAAGAAGCAGAGGGGGCUUAGUGGUGGGGUGACUGCGUACCUUUUGUAUAAUGGGUCAGCGACUUAUAUUCUGUAGCAAGGUUAACCGAAUAGGGGAGCCGGAGGGAAACCGAGUCUUAAUUGGGCGUUAAGUUGCAGGGUAUAGACCCGAAACC